GGAACUGUGCCUGAAACAAAGGACCACUUUGAUAGAGUGAAUAAUGGGGGUUAAAGUCCCCCCAGCUCC
rnacentral:tRNA from 1 species